rnacentral:rRNA from 1 species
AGUGAACGCUGGCGGUAGGCCUAACACAUGCAAGUCGAACGGCAGCACAGUAAGAGCUUGCUCUUACGGGUGGCGAGUGGCGGACGGGUGAGGAAUACAUCGGAAUCUACUUUUUCGUGGGGGAUAACGUAGGGAAACUUACGCUAAUACCGCAUACGACCUACGGGUGAAAGCAGGGGAUCUUCGGACCUUGCGCGAUUGAAUGAGCCGAUGUCGGAUUAGCUAGUUGGCGGGGUAAAGGCCCCCCAAGGCGACGAUCCGUAGCUGGUCUGAGAGGAUGAUCAGCCACACUGGAACUGAGACACGGUCCAGACUCCUACGGGAGGCAGCAGUGGGGAAUAUUGGACAAUGGGCGCAAGCCUGAUCCAGCCAUACCGCGUGGGUGAAGAAGGCCUUCGGGUUGUAAAGCCCUUUUGUUGGGAAAGAAAAGCAGCAGGUUAAUACCCCGCUGUUCCGACGGUACCCAAAGAAUAAGCACCGGCUAACUUCGUG